UGUGCUGCUAGCUUCAACUUAUAGGAACAAAAGUCCCCUUGUAGGACUUAUUUGCUGUAUUUCAUGUUGUCGUUGCAUUUUGCCCAUUAUGUAGUCUGCAAAUGUCAAGUCCCGUGACUACAGUCAUAAUUGUGUACACUACAAUUACUACAUUUGAUAUGAAUUUCACCUUGUAAUUUUUUACAGGGACUGAUGAGGAAACGCUCCCUGUCAUCCGCCUAAGAGCAGAGAAUGAGCACCUGUUUACAGGUGGCAGGCACGCAGCCCAAAGGGCCUGGGAGUUACUUACUGAAUAUCAAUGUAUUGCAUGAUACUGAUAACUGGUCUUACUUUUAACAUAUGCAGUGGCCUAAUAUCCAUUACGACCUGAUGUUCCUUACAUGUCAUAAUGUUGACAUACAUUUUCCUGGAUUGGGAAGAUAUGAUAACCAGUGUGUAUUGGUGGUGACAACUGGUAUUUUGAUGUGUCAUUUGAUGAUGAACUUGUAAAUAAAAUAACAACUGCUAUGUAGCCCACACUUGAGUUGACACAUGUGGCUGUAGACUUUACUUGCUCACCGUGAGUUAGCCAUUAACAUCUCUGUACCACUCAGGGAAAUUCUUCAGGUGACGGAGCUCACAGGUGUCACUCCGAGAUAAGUUGCCAAGAAAUGGGACAACGUGAAGGGGAAGUAUAAAAGUGCAUUUCCUGCAAUCCUGAUGCAUGAGAGGUGUGACACAGCUAGAAUCAUCUCAAACCAUGGCAGCACUCUACAGAUCGCCUCACCCAACAUCCACUGGCUCAUCAACCCAGUCCGCCCAGAGUCAAGACACAGCGGAGUCUAGCUCUGACAGCCAUCCCUCUGCCGGGCCCCCCCUCCCAGAAAGAAAAGGAAACACUCCCAGGUCUUGCAGUUCCUGGAGGAGGAGAGGUUCAACUGCCAGCCCCAGGCCAUGCAGGAGAUCUCCACCAGGUUCCUGAACCUCUUUCAGGAGCUGGUGCAGAAAAGAUUAGUUUGUGUUAUGUAUAGCUUUGUGUUAACUUGCUUGCAUUUUAGUUGGUUAUGUUUUA